rnacentral:rRNA from 1 species
GUGCCAGCAGCCGCGGUACUACCGGCAGCCCGAGUGAUGGCCGAUCUUAUUGGGCCUAAAGCGUCCGUAACUGGCUGCGCAAGUCCGUCGGGAAAUCCACUCGCCCAACGAGUGGGCGUCCGACGGAAACUGCACAGCUUGGGACCGGAAGGCUCGAAGGGUACGUUCGGGGUAGGAGUGAAAUCCCAUAAUCCCGCACGGACCACCGAUGGCGAAAGCACUGCGAGAAGACGGCUCCGACAGUGAGGGACGAAAGCCAGGGUCUGCAACCGGAUUAGAAACCCUGGUAGUCC